rnacentral:rRNA from 1 species
CAGUCGCCACGGGAAUACAGAGGGUGCGAGCGUUAAUCGGAUUUACUGGGCGUAAAGCGUGCGUAGGCGGCUAAUUGAGUCGGAUGUGAAAUCCCCGAGCUUAACUUGGGAAUUGCAUUCGAUACUGGUUAGCUAGAGUGUGGGAGAGGAUGGUAGAAUUCCAGGUGUAGCGGUGAAAUGCGUAGAGAUCUGGAGGAAUACCGAUGGCGAAGGCAGCCAUCUGGCCUAACACUGACGCUAAGGUACGAAAGCAUGGGGAGCAAACAGGAUUAGAUACCCCAGUAGUCCCUGUCUCUUAUAU